GAGUAGGGCGGGACACGUGGUAUCCUGUCUGAAUAUGGGGGGACCAUCCUCCAAGGCUAAAUACUCCUGACUGACCGAUAGUGAACCAGUACCGUGAGGGAAAGGCGAAAAGAACCCCGGCGAGGGGAGUGAAAAAGAACCUGAAACCGUGUACGUACAAGCAGUGGGAGCACGCUUAGGCGUGUGACUGCGUACCUUUUGUAUAAUGGGUCAGCGACUUAUAUUCUGUAGCAAGGUUAACCGAAUAGGGGAGCCGAAGGGAAACCGAGUCUUAACUGGGCGUUAAGUUGCAGGGUAUAGACCCGAAACCCGGUGAUCUAGCCAUGGGCAGGUUGAAGGUUGGGUAACACUAACUGGAGGACCGAACCGACUAAUGUUGAAAAAUUAGCGGAUGACUUGUGGCUGGGGGUGAAAGGCCAAUCAAACCGGGAGAUAGCUGGUUCUCCCCGAAAGCUAUUUAGGUAGCGCCUCGUGAAUUCAUCUCCGGGGGUAGAGCACUGUUUCGGCAAGGGGGUCAUCCCGACUUACCAACCCGAUGCAAACUGCGAAUACCGGAGAAUGUUAUCACGGGAGACACACGGCGGGUGCUAACGUCCGUCGUGAAGAGGGAAACAACCCAGACCGCCAGCUAAGGUCCCAAAGUCAUGGUUAAGUGGGAAACGAUGUGGGAAGGCCCAGACAGCCAGGAUGUUGGCUUAGAAGCAGCCAUCAUUUAAAGAAAGCGUAAUAGCUCACUGGUCGAGUCGGCCUGCGCGGAAGAUGUAACGGGGCUAAACCAUGCACCGAAGCUGCGGCAGCGACGCUUAUGCGUUGUUGGGUAGGGGAGCGUUCUGUAAGCCUGUGAAGGUGUGCUGUGAGGCAUGCUGGAGGUAUCAGAAGUGCGAAUGCUGACAUAAGUAACGAUAAAGCGGGUGAAAAGCCCGCUCGCCGGAAGACCAAGGGUUCCUGUCCAACGUUAAUCGGGGCAGGGUGAGUCGACCCCUAAGGCGAGGCCGAAAGGCGUAGUCGAUGGGAAACAGGUUAAUAUUCCUGUACUUGGUGUUACUGCGAAGGGGGGACGGAGAAGGCUAUGUUGGCCGGGCGACGGUUGUCCCGGUUUAAGCGUGUAGGCUGGUUUUCCAGGCAAAUCCGGAAAAUCAAGGCUGAGGCGUGAUGACGAGGCACUACGGUGCUGAAGCAACAAAUGCCCUGCUUCCAGGAAAAGCCUCUAAGCAUCAGGUAACAUCAAAUCGUACCCCAAACCGACACAGGUGGUCAGGUAGAGAAUACCAAGGCGCUUGAGAGAACUCGGGUGAAGGAACUAGGCAAAAUGGUGCCGUAACUUCGGGAGAAGGCACGCUGAUAUGUAGGUGAAGCGACUUGCUCGUGGAGCUGAAAUCAGUCGAAGAUACCAGCUGGCUGCAACUGUUUAUUAAAAAC
rnacentral:rRNA from 1 species